CCUACCCUUCCUUUUUCAUACAUGCACAUACUAUAUAUUUACAUUAACUUCCAGUGCCCGUGGAGAAACUGGUGUCGGUCUAGCUUACUAAGUUGAAAACGCUUGUUGAUCACAGAUUUCGACAGGAAUUCAAAGGAUCUGAGAGAAUUAAUGGUUGAUAUGAUGGGUCAAGUUAAUGUUAAGUUCUUAGUCAGGUUUUUGGAAAGAAGCAACGGUAUGUUCAUCGUUAGGACUCGCGGUAAACGUAGCCAUGCAGGAGACGAUUCAAGACAAUAGGACAGAUUUAGACAAAGUGCAGGAUUUUAAUGAAGACUCGCACCGGUACCCUGACAUGAACAUCUAUAUUUUUCGAGCCUCGAAACCAGCCUCGCUUAUGAUCAUGCCGAGCCAUAGCCGUGAUGGAAGUUGCCAGGAAACAACAGGUUAACAUAUCAUCAUAAAGUAAAUAGGCUUAUAACUCUGUCUACAUGUCUUCGCUUCCAUUAUCAUAGAACUUUAUAAAAUCGUCAUGCUGAAGUUGAAGACGGUAUUUAAAACUGUAUAACAUGAAACAACAGAAUGAUAUGUUUAAUGUUUCUCUUUUAUAAAUUGAUGAAAUUCUUGUUUGUUUACAAAACAGAAUCUGUAUGAAUAUCC